UACGGAGGGUGCAAGCGUUGUCCGGAAUCACUGGGCGUAAAGGGCGCGUAGGCGGCUCAUGAAGGCUGUGGUGAAAGUCCGGGCUCAACCUCGGAUCGGCCGUGGCGACUCGUGGGCUGGAGCACUGUAGAGGCGGGUGGAAUUCCGGGUGUAGCGGUGGAAUGCGUAGAGAUCCGGAAGAACACCAGUGGCGAAGGCGGCCCGCUGGGCAGUGGCUGACGCUGAGGCGCGACAGCGUGGGAGCAAACAGG
rnacentral:rRNA from 1 species